rnacentral:misc_RNA from 1 species
UUCGUAGAUUUCUGAUGAGAAGAGUGAGACUGAGGGUGAGAGUGAAAAACUGAUAUUGCUGUUCCUUUGGGGGCAGUGAUUGAAGUGUGAGAGGGAGUCGUGCGGAGACCAAGGGGGAGGUAGAGAGUGAAGUGGAGGUGAGAGAGUGUGAACUGGAGGUAAAGGAGAGUGAAUUGGAGGUGAGAAGAGGUGAAGUGGAGGUGAGAGAGUGUGAACUGGAGGUGAGAGAGAGUGAACUGGAGGUAAAGGAGAGUGAAUUGGAGGUGAGAGAGUGUGAACUGGAGGUGAGAGAGUGUGAACUGGAGGUGAGAGAGAGUGAACUGGAGGUAAAGGAGAGUGAAUUGGAGGUGAGAAGAGGUGAACUGGAGGUGAGAAGAGGUGAACUGGAGGUGAGAGAGUGUGAACUGGAGGUAAAGGAGAGUGAAUUGGAGGUGAGAAGAGGUGAACUGGAGGUAAAGGAGUNAACUGGAGGUAAAGGAGUGCAACUGAAAUUACUAUCCCCUUGGGGACAGUGUUUGAAGUGUGAGAGGGGNNNNNNNNCGGGGUGAGGAUGCGUGCCGAGAAGUACCGGGAAGUCGUGCGAUGACCAGAUGUUGAGUGUGAAGGAGUAUUGAGAUAGUCGUGCGAAGGUCAAGGGUGAUGGGGUGGUGAUGAGGAUGUCGUGCAGAGACCAAGAGGGAUAGGAUUGAGAGUGAAUGUGAGCAGUGUGUAAAAAAUUUUGUGCAUAAAAUUUUGUGCAUAAAAUCUUGUGUGUGUUUGUGUUUGUUUGUGCCUGUGUUUGUGUCCGUAUGCCUGUGUUUGUGUUUGUGCGUAGUGCGGUUUUGUGUUUUGUAUGGCCGAGGGUCGUGUAUUGCCAAAACCUAUUAAAAAGGCCUUCAUUUUGCCCUCUAUAUGAUUUCUCUGGUCGUUAAAAUACCCCCCAGUUGAUACGGUUUGAAAUUCUUAGAUUGUGAUUUUUGGGAGGGGUUUCAAUGUUGCACAGUUUCAAUGCUGCGCGAGAAAUGAAUAUACAAGAAAAAAUUGUGACAGAGUGAGAACUGGUGAAGUGGGAAAUGAAAGGAAAAAUUUUGAAUGGACCCACAAGGACAUAAUAAUUCAAUACACGGCUCUUUUGGUUCAAUGCUUUUGUUUUAAACGUCUUUUUUCGGGCCAUUUUGAUUGACGCUUAGUGGUGGUCAGUAGCGCGCGCACUAAGAAUUCUUUGCGGAUUUUACGCAACUUUUGUUAGACUUUUUCAAAAAGAAUAUUUUUGCAGCAGGCAAACUGCGCGGGUGCAGCAUUUUGCGGCCGGAGGUACUAUAUGAGAGAGAAAUCUCUUAGGAAUAGUGCGUAUGAAAUUCAUACCGCCAUUCCGAUGAAGUGAAUUUAUAUCAACUUUUAGUUCUUAUACCUCCAUUCGGAGGUAUAUCUUUUAGUUGUAUAAAGUCUACUUCUUGGCCCUGCGAUUUAUCGCUCAAGUCUCGGGCUGACAACGUCUCCCCGAGCAAGGUGAAACAGUGGAUUACUAGGCAAUGCCAAGUCCACCAAAACCCAGAUCAUUAGAUCUUUUUGCUACGAGUCAGUGGACAAUCCAGUCUUAAUAACUUCUACAUAGUUAUCUGGUUG